rnacentral:rRNA from 1 species
GAUGAACGCUGGCGGCGUGCUUAACACAUGCAAGUCGAACGAUGAACCAGGUGCUUGCAUCUGGGGAUUAGUGGCGAACGGGUGAGUAACACGUGAGCAACCUGCCCCUGACUCUGGGAUAAGCGCUGGAAACGGCGUCUAAUACUGGAUAUGUCCCGUCACCGCAUGGUGUGCGGGUGGAAAGAUUUUUCGGUUGGGGAUGGGCUCGCGGCCUAUCAGCUUGUUGGUGAGGUAAUGGCUCACCAAGGCGUCGACGGGUAGCCGGCCUGAGAGGGUGACCGGCCACACUGGGGCUGAGACACGGCCCAGACUCCUACGGGAGGCAGCAGUGGGGAAUAUUGCACAAUGGGCGGAAGCCUGAUGCAGCAACGCCGCGUGAGGGAUGACGGCCUUCGGGUUGUAAACCUCUUUUAGCAGGGAAGAAGCGAGAGUGACGGUACCUGCAGAAAAAGCACCGGCUAACUACGUGCCAGCCGCCGCGGUAACAC